rnacentral:rRNA from 1 species
AUGGGAGGUUUUGAAGAUGAUGAACCGCCAUCAAAACGGGCAAGAGCAUCCUCAGUAGAAUCAGCAACUUUGUCAGACAUCCCCUGUUAUUCGAAACCCACUAAUCCUUUGGGAGGUACAAUGGCUAGACCUUUGACUUCCCAAGGGAAAGAAGUUAUGGUUGGCUCUAAAGGUUUAAUUAAGAGGGAUGAAUUUGUGAGGAUAAUCACAAAAUCUCUGUAUACUCUAGGAUAUGAAAAAACUGGAGCUGUUCUUGAGGAAGAAUCAGGUAUAAAACUGCAUUCCCCACCAGUGAAUGUUUUCAGAAAGCAGGUGCUUGAUGGGAAUUGGGACAGUGCAGUAGUUACCUUGAACACACUUGAUCUUCUGGACGAAAACAUUGUGAAGUCUGCAGUAUUUUUGUUAUUGGAGCAGAAAUUUUUUGAACUUCUGAGAAAUGGCAAUGUCAUGGGUGCUAUGAAGACGCUGCAAAGUGAGAUCUCCCCCCUUGGCAUUAACAGAAAAAGAGUUCAUGAAAUGGCAAGUUGCUUAAUUUCUUCUCCGCAAAAUGUCUUGGUUGGUUUUUCAAAGCCUGGAAUUGAAUCUUCUAACUCACGGUUUAAGCUCCUAGAGGAACUGCAAAAGGUGCUCCCCCCUACCAUUAUGGUACCUGAGAGGAGGUUAGAGAAUUUAGUUGAACAGGCACUUACUGUACAACGUGAAGCUUGUUAUCUCCAUAAUUCUGUUGAUGGCCCGUCACUCUAUAUCGAUCAUCACUGUGGGAGAGAUCAGAUACCAUCUCAAGCGCUGCAGGUUUUGUGUGCACACCGUGACGAAGUAUGGUUUCUCCAAUUUUCGAACAAUGGGAAGUAUUUAGCAUCGGCAUCAAAUGAUAAAACUGCAGUCAUAUGGAAGGUUGAUGAAGAUGGAGAACUAUUGCUGAAGCAUACAUUGACUGGUCAUGAGAAACCAGUGAUGAUGGUUGCAUGGAGCCCUGAUGAUUGCCAGCUUCUCACAUGUGGAAUGGAAGAAGUCAUCCGGCGCUGGGAUGUUGAAUCUGGCGAAUGUAUACAUGUUUAUGAAAAAUCUGGCGUUGGUCUGUUGUCAUGUGGUUGGUUUCCAGAUGGAAAGCAAAUAUUGUCUGGUUUAAAUGAUCAAAGCCUUUGCUUGUGGGAUUUAGAUGGAAAACAAGCAGAUUGCUGGGAAGGGCAGAGGUCAACGAAAACAUCUGACUUUGCUGUCUCAAAAGAUGGCAAACUUAUAAUAAGCACCAGUAGAGAUUCCGCAAUUCUGUUAUUCAAUAGGGACACAAAACAGGAGAGGCUGAUUGAAGAGGAGCAUACAGUCACUUCAUUUUCUCUUUCGGAAGAUGGCGAUUUCUUGCUUGUAAAUCUUAUAAAUGAGCAGAUUCAUUUGUGGAACAUAAGGAAUGAUCCCAUUCAAGUUAAACAGUACACUGGCCAUAAGCGCAGCCGGUUUGUGAUAAGGUCAUGUUUCGGUGGAUCUGAGCAGGCCUUUAUUGCCAGUGGAAGCGAAGACGCAAAGGUCUAUAUAUGGCACAGAGCUAGUGGAGAUGUUAUCGAGACCCUGUCUGGCCACUCGGGUGCGGUCAACUGCGUAAGCUGGAACCCUACAAAUCCACAUAUGCUUGCAUCUGCGAGUGAUGAUCAUACCAUUCGCAUAUGGGGGCUAAAGAAAGCCACCGUGAAGCGAAGGGACGCAGGCAGCAGCAGCGGCAGUAAUGGGAUCCACAUGAACGGCAGUGCCAACGGCAACGGUUUUGUUCACCAGUGCAACGGAAGCCGCAGCAAGUGA